GGAUCAGAGUCUCCUAUGUGUGAGGAGGCAGGAUCUGGUACAGGUGUGAGGAUCUGGGUCUCUACAUGUCUGGGAAGGUAGGAUCUGGCCUUGGUAUGAGGCUUGUGAGGAUCUGGGCUCUCCAUGUCUGAGGAGGUAGGAUCUGGUACAGGUGUGAGGAUCUGGGUCUUUCCAUGUCUGGGAAGAUAGGAUCUGGUACAGGUGUGAGGAUCUUGGUCUCUCCAUAUCUGAGGAGGUAGGAUCUGGUGUAGGUGUGAGGAUCUGUGUCCAUCCAUGUCUGAGGAGGUAGGAUCUGGUACAAGUGUGAGGAUCUGGGUCUCCAUGUCUGAGAAGGUAGGACCUGGCCCUGGUAUGAGUCUUAUGAGAAUUUGGGUCUGUCAGCAUCUGAGGAGGUAGGAUCUGGGUAUGGGUAUAUGGAUCUGGAUCUGUCAGUAUCUGAGGAGGUAGGAUCUGGCCCUAGUAUCAGGCUCUGAGUCUAUCCAUGUCUGAGGAGGUAGGAUCUGGUACAGGUGUGAGGAUACGGGUCUCUCCAUGUCCGAGGAGGUAGGAUCUGUUACAGGUGUGAGGAUCUGUGUCUGUCAGUGUCUGAGAAGGUGGGAUCUGACCCUGGUGUGAGGAUCUGGGUCUCUCCAUGUCUGAGAAGGUAGGAUCUGACCCUGGUAUGAGGAUCUGGGUCUGUCAGUGUCUGAGAAGGUAGGACUUAGCCCUGGUAUGAGGCUUGUGAGUCUGUUAGCAUCUGAGGAUGUAGGAUCUGGCCCUGGUAUCAGGAUCUGGGUCUGUCAAUGUCUGAGGAGGUAGGAUCUG